GUGCUGGUGCCCCUCCACCAUCGACUGUUAUGAUCUCAACAAAGGUGUGAGCCUAAAAUUGCAUAGAGUUCAGCUGGGUUGAGCUUUUUGGUAAAACUAAGGGUUAACUUUGUGUGAGAUGGAAAUGGUUAAUAAUCAUACGGUAGCUUAAAUCCCGAGUAGGAGGUGAUGGCGAUAUGACAUUACAGGAUGUUCCUUUGUCUUGGGCCUCACGUCCCAAAGAG